UGAAAGGUGCAGUUUGCGGAUUGUAAGU
rnacentral:piRNA from 1 species